UACAGAGGGUGCGAGCGUUAAUCGGAUUUACUGGGCGUAAAGCGUGCGUAGGCGGUUGGGUAAGUCGGAUGUGAAAGCCCUGGGCUUAACCUGGGAAUGCCAUUCGAUACUGCCCGACUCGAGUUCGGUAGAGGGCGGUGGAACUCCAGGUGUAGCGGUGAAAUGCGUAGAUAUCUGGAAGAACACCAAUGGCGAAGGCAACCGCCUGGGCCUGAACUGACGCUGAGGCACGAAAGCGUGGGGAGCAAACAGG
rnacentral:rRNA from 1 species